rnacentral:rRNA from 1 species
AGAGUUUGAUCAUGGCUCAGAACGAACGCUGGCGGCGUGCCCAACACAUGCAAGUCGUACGAGAAAUCUGGAGCAAUCUGGAGAGUACAGUGGCGCACGGGUGAGUAACGCGUGGGUAACCUGCCCUUGGGUUGGGGAUAACUCCUCGAAAGGGGUGCUAAUACCGGAUAACAUUUCGAUCUCCACGGGGAUUGAAAUCAAAGGUGGCCUCUGCAUGCAAGCUACUGCCUGGGGAUGGGCCCGCGUACCAUUAGCUAGUUGGUAGGGUAACGGCCUACCAAGGCUGCGAUGGUUAGCUGGUCUGAGAGGAUGGCCAGCCACACUGGAACUGAGACACGGUCCAGACUCCUACGGGAGGCAGCAGUGGGGAAUCUUGCGCAAUGGGGGAAACCCUGACGCAGCAACGCCGCGUGGGUGAUGAAGGCCUUCGGGUCGUAAAGCCCUGUCAGGUGGGAAGAAACCCAUCGGUGCGAAUAGCACCGGUGAUUGACGGUACCACCGGAGGAAGCACCGGCUAACUCCGUGCCAGCAGCCGCGGUAAUACGGAGGGUGCAAGCGUUGUUCGGAAUUACUGGGCGUAAAGCGCGUGUAGGCGGUCGGGUAAGUCAGAUGUGAAAGCCCCCGGCUUAACUGGGGAACUGCAUUUGAAACUGCCUGGCUCGAGUUCGGGAGAGGAGAGUGGAAUUCCUGGUGUAGAGGUGAAAUUCGUAGAUAUCAGGAGGAACACCGGUGGCGAAGGCGGCUCUCUGGUCCGACACUGACGCUGAGACGCGAAAGCGUGGGGAGCAAACAGGAUUAGAUACCCUGGUAGUCCACGCCGUAAACGAUGGGCACUAGGUGUGGGAGGUAUUGACCCCUUCCGUGCCGAAGCUAACGCAUUAAGUGCCCCGCCUGGGGAGUACGACCGCAAGGUUAAAACUCAAAGGAAUUGACGG